UGACCAGGUCGUCACGAUGAACCUCAGCUUGCUGGGGGGAUUAGUGGCGAACGGGUGAGUAACACGUGAGUAACCUGCCCUUAACUCUGGGAUAAGCCUGGGAAACUGGGUCUAAUACCGGAUAUGACUCCUCAUCGCAUGGUGGGGGGUGGAAAGCUUUUUGUGGUUUUGGAUGGACUCGCGGCCUAUCAGCUUGUUGGUGAGGUAAUGGCUUACCAAGGCGACGACGGGUAGCCGGCCUGAGAGGGUGACCGGCCACACUGGGACUGAGACACGGCCCAGACUCCUACGGGAGGCAGCAGUGGGGAAUAUUGCACAAUGGGCGCAAGCCUGAUGCAGCGACGCCGCGUGAGGGAUGACGGCCUUCGGGUUGUAAACCUCUUUCAGUAGGGAAGAAGCGAAAGUGACGGUACCUGCAGAAGAAGCGCCGGCUAACUACGUGCCAGCAGCCGCGGUAAUACGUAGGGCGCAAGCGUUAUCCGGAAUUAUUGGGCGUAAAGAGCUCGUAGGCGGUUUGUCGCGUCUGCCGUGAAAGUCCGGGGCUCAACUCCGGAUCUGCGGUGGGUACGGGCAGACUAGAGUGAUGUAGGGGAGACUGGAAUUCCUGGUGUAGCGGUGAAAUGCGCAGAUAUCAGGAGGAACACCGAUGGCGAAGGCAGGUCUCUGGGCAUUAACUGACGCUGAGGAGCGAAAGCAUGGGGAGCGAACAGGAUUAGAUACCCUGGUAGUCCAUGCCGUAAACGUUGGGCACUAGGUGUGGGGGACAUUCCACGUUUUCCGCGCCGUAGCUAACGCAUUAAGUG
rnacentral:rRNA from 1 species